rnacentral:lncRNA from 1 species
UGAUUUAAUGGCUGAUUUUAGUUCAGGGGUAGGCAAGUAAUUUUAAAAAGAAUUAACAAAGUAGUGAAAUUAGUCUGGGAAUAUAUUUGGAUGGACUAAGAUGUGUGAUUCAACUUUCACGUCUCCACGAAGAAAAGUUUGAUGUAUUAGGACGGAAUUACUAAUUCGAGAUAAUUGUUAGAGUGAAGGAACAAUCGACGAGUGAAAUGGGUAUUGAGGAGGGUUACUGGUGAAGAAGAGCAUGAUAAACCAAGCUGAAAGAGCGCAGAAUCGUCAGGUGCACUACUACCACACCUGAUUUGAUCUUAUAGAGUCAAUGCCAAAAACUUCUUCACCUUGCCCUUGCGGCUGAAACUUUUGAUCUGGACUAGGCACUCUCAUCUUAAUUAUCGUACUGCAUUGCUCCGAAACUUACUUAGAGAGUACAGCUUCUCAAACUAUCGACGGAAGACGUCUUGAGCUCCACCAGCAUCCGGCAGCACCUAGACCAAUGUGCCAUAAUCUCUGCUCAUCUGCAGCAACAAGUAAUUAGUAGGAUCAGUUUCUGUACAACUGGGACAGUUGAAAAGUGCAGCUAGCAAAUUAAACAAGGUGGCACAAGUAAUUACCAAUAUAAUAUGUUCAACGGUAGCUCAUAUAUAUUCAUCAUCUGCCUCCUGAGGAAUGGAAUAAACACCUUCAAGCCACCAACAUCGCAUCCAACUCAUUUCAGAGCAAUGUCAUCCCAGCAGUGGAAGGACAUUCUUGCAGAUGCCGAAUGCUGACUCUCAACUACGUCAGAUGGCUGAAAGAGUGAGCAGCGUUAUACUUGGGGAUUCCAGUAACCAAAACCAUCAUAUACUGGAAUCCCCUCAGUAUAAAAC